rnacentral:rRNA from 1 species
AAUACGUGGCGAACGGCUCAGUAACACGUAGUCAACAUGCCCAGAGGACGUGGAUAACCUCGGGAAACUGAGGAUAAACCGCGAUAGGUCAUAAUUACUGGAAUGUGUUAUGGCCCAAAUCUAUAUGGCCUCUGGAUUGGACUGCGGCCGAUCAGGCUGUUGGUGAGGUAAUGGCCCACCAAACCUUUUACCGGUACGGGCUCUGAGAGGAGAAGCCCGGAGAUGGGCACUGAGACAAGGGCCCAGGCCCUAUGGGGCGCAGCAGGCGCGAAACCUCUGCAAUAGGCGAAAGCCUGACAGGGUUACUCUGAGUGAUUCCCGCUAAGGGAAUCUUUUGGCAUCUCUAAAAAUGGUGCAGAAUAAGGGGUGGGCAAGUCUGGUGUCAGCCGCCGCGGUAAUACCAGCACCCCGAGUGGUCGGGACGAUUAUUGGGCCUAAAGCAUCCGUAGCCGGUCUUGCAAGUCUUCCGUUAAAUCCAGCUGCUUAACAGAUGGGCUGCGGAGGAUACUACAAGGCUAGGAGGCGGGAGAGGCAAGCGGUACUCAGUGGGUAGGGGUAAAAUCCUCUGAUCCAUUGAAGACCACCAGUGGCGAAGGCGGCUUGCCAGAACGCGCUCGACGGUGAGGGAUGAAAGCUGGGGGAGCAAACCGGAUUAGAUACCCGGGUAGUCCCAGCUGUAAACGAUGCAGACUCGGUGAUGGGCCGGCUUUAUGCCGGCUCAGUGCCGCAGGGAAGCCGUUAAGUCUGCCGCCUGGGGAGUACGGUCGCAAGACUGAAACUUAAAGGAAUUGGCGGGGGAGCACCACAAGGGGUGAAGCCUGCGGUUCAAUUGGAGUCAACGCCGGA